rnacentral:rRNA from 1 species
AAUGAACGCUGGCGGCAUGCCUAACACAUGCAAGUCGAACGAGACCUUCGGGUCUUGUCGCGCACGGGUGCGUAACGCGUGGGAACCUGCCCUUAGGUUCGGAAUAACUCCCCGAAUGGGGUGCUAAUACCGGAUAAUGUCUUCGGACCAAAGAUUUAUCGCAUUUGGAUGGGCCCUCGUUGGAUUAGCUAGUUGGUAGGGUAAAAGCCUACCAAGGCGACGAUCCAUAGCUGGUCUGAGAGGAUGAUUAGCCACACUGGGACUGGGACACGGCCCAGACUCCUACGGGAGGGAGCAGUGGGGAAUAGUGCAACAUGGGGGAAGGCAUGAUCCAGCUAUGCCGCGUAAGUGAUGAAGGCAUGAAAGUUGUAAAGCUCAUGUACCCGGGAUGAUAAUGACAGUACCGAGAGAGUAAGCCCCGGCUAACUACGUG